GAAUGAACCGGCGAGUUACGAUUUGAUGCAAGGUUAAGCAGUAAAUGUGGAGCCGUAGCGAAAGCGAGUCUGAAUAGGGCGUUUAGUAUUUGGUCGUAGACCCGAAACCAGGUGAUCUACCCUUGGUCAGGUUGAAGUUCAGGUAACACUGAAUGGAGGACCGAACCGACUUACGUUGAAAAGUGAGCGGAUGAACUGAGGGUAGCGGAGAAAUUCCAAUCGAACCUGGAGAUAGCUGGUUCUCUCCGAAAUAGCUUUAGGGCUAGCCUCAAGUGAUGAUUAUUGGAGGUAGAGCACUGUUUGGACGAGGGGCCCCUCUCGGGUUACCGAAUUCAGACAAACUCCGAAUGCCAAUUAAUUUAACUUGGGAGUCAGAACAUGGGUGAUAAGGUCCGUGUUCGAAAGGGAAACAGCCCAGACCACCAGCUAAGGUCCCAAAAUAUAUGUUAAGUGGAAAAGGAUGUGGCGUUGCCCAGACAACUAGGAUGUUGGCUUAGAAGCAGCCAUCAUUUAAAGAGUGCGUAAUAGCUCACUAGUCGAGUGACACUGCGCCGAAAAUGUACCGGGGCUAAACAUAUUACCGAAGCUGUGGAUUGUCCUUUGGACAAUGGUAGGAGAGCGUUCUAAGGGCGUUGAAGCAUGAUCGUAAGGACAUGUGGAGCGCUUAGAAGUGAGAAUGCCGGUGUGAGUAGCGAAAGACGGGUGAGAAUCCCG
rnacentral:rRNA from 1 species